GAGGGUAUAGCUCAGGUAGUAGGGUGCAUGCUUAGCAUGUGUGAUGUUCUGGGUUCAAUCCCCAGUACCUCCA
rnacentral:tRNA from 1 species